rnacentral:rRNA from 1 species
CCUACGGGAGGCAGCAGUGAGGAAUAUUGGUCAAUGGGCGUAAGCCUGAACCAGCCAAGUCGCGUGAGGGAUGAAGGUUCUAUGGAUCGUAAACCUCUUUUAUAAGGGAAUAAAGUGUGGGACGUGUCCUGUUUUGUAUGUAUCUUAUGAAUAAGGAUCGGCUAACUCCGUGCCAGCAGCCGCGGUAAUACGGAGGAUGCGAGCGUUAUCCGGAUUUAUUGGGUUUAAAGGGUGCGCAGGCGGAAUGUCAAGUCAGCGGUAAAAUUUCGGGGCUCAACCCCGUCGUGCCGUUGAAACUGGCGGUCUUGAGUGAGCGAGAAGUAUGCGGAAUGCGUGGUGUAGCGGUGAAAUGCAUAGAUAUCACGCAGAACUCCGAUUGCGAAGGCAGCAUACCGGCGCUCAACUGACGCUCAUGCACGAAAGCGUGGGUAUCGAACAGGAUUAGAUACCCCUGUAGUC